rnacentral:lncRNA from 1 species
CUGCAACUUCUUAAGCUGCAUAGUCUGAGACAGUCAACUGAACUCAACGAAAAUGAAAUUCAUGUCGCUCUUUCUCGCUGUGGCGAUGGUUCUGUCCGCCCUGAUGGGGGCAGCACGAGCCAUGCCUGAGCCCGACGCCCUGGCCGACGCUGACCCUUGGCACUUCGGAGGCUACCGCGGAGGCUACCGCGGAGGCUACGGCGGAGGCUACCGUGGAGGCUACCGCGGAGGCUAUGGACGCGGAGGCUACGGCUGGUGAGGCUUCGAAACGAGGACCUCUUCUACCGAGACCAUUUAACGACGCUCACUCUGAUCUGAAGGACAAGCUAAUCGAUUUUCGACUUUAUUAUGAAAAUAAACCUAAGGUGCAACUUA